rnacentral:lncRNA from 1 species
CCCUAACCGUCGCAAACCACCAGCUCGCUGCUGUGACUUCGCUACUUCCUGGAGUCCCAGGCUCCGUGUGCGGUGAGGGUCCACCCAGAGCCUCGGGACGUGACCUGACUUGAGAGGAGAGCUCUGCAGCGAGAGACGGUGCUUAUGCGGGGAGGCCGGACUCCGACGGCAGGACCCGCACUCGUCGGGUGGGUUCCUCCAGCCUCUGCCGGUGACACCAUCCCUACCAGGUCCCUGGCACAACGGGGUUGCCAUGGCUCAGCACCCAGGAACUGACGUUCUCUUGACGAUUUCUGGGAAUCCUGGGCGACGGCCUCCUUGUCUCGGGAGCCAGCCUGGGACCCCCUGGCUGGCGUGGAUGGUCGGACCCCUCUGCCUCUCCCAACAUAAACUCGUGGGUCUCGGUUCAGAAACCCGGCUCUCGCCCACUCCCGGCACCAGGUUUGGGGUCCCUGGGGCCAGAGGCCAUCUGAGGAUGCAGAGGAGCGAGGCCUGGAGCCCCAGGGCCGAGACAUGCUGCUGGACCGGCAGCUCCUGCGGAAGCGCAGCAGCCAGACCCCGGGAAACACCAGGGGUGAGACCCCCCAUUGGAGGCCUGCAGAGCUGAGCCUUCAUCCAAAACCCUGGGGUCCCUCUCCGUCGGCCACAGUGAAUCUUGGGCCAACCUCCCAGCCCCGUGGGCGCGUCACCAUCGCCAGGGCAGCGGCUGGAGAGGCGAGCUGAGGGGCUGACUUCCACCCGACGGCUGAUGAGGUGAGGCUGAGCCCCAGGCUGGGGCCUGGAGCAAGACCCAAGCAGCAGGGGAGGUACAGAGGCACCCGUCUCCCUGGCGUGUGUGCGUGUGCAUGCGUGUGCGUGCGCGUGCGUGGUGUGUGUGUGGAGAACCAAUUUGCAUUGUCUCUGCGCACGUGCGAUAAGAGUUUUCCGACACAAAAGGUGUCAGUAAAAUUAACUGAUUUCAUUUUGAACCUUCCCCCCAGCCCAACAGGCAGUGUCUGGCAAGGCUUCCUUUCAGCGAGACGCUUUGGGUUCAACUUUGCCAAUGGCUAGUGUGAAGCUAAGCCGGCCUGAAGUCACAGGCGCACGAGCCUCGUGAGCCCUGGAGAAGGGCCACGAAGCUCAGGCUGGGGAGGG